AAUGGAUUUACGAAAAAUGACUUUUYUAAAUUCAAUAAUUGAAUUUAUUUUUAUUUGUGAGGAAACAAUAAUAAAUAUUAAGGACAAGAAGACCCUAAGAAUUUUAAAAGAAUUAAUAUUUGAAUCAAAAUUUAUAUCUUUUUAAUUGGGGCGAUUAAGAAAUAUUAAUAACUUUCUUUACUAUAACAAAAUGAACCGUUAAUAGCGGUAAUAUGAUAAAAAUACUCUAGGGAUAACAGCGUAAUAAUUUUUGAUAGUUCAUAUAGACAAAAUAGUUUGCGACCUCGAUGUUGGAUUAGGAUA
rnacentral:rRNA from 1 species